AUUGAACGCUGGCGGCAGGCUUAACACAUGCAAGUCGAGCGGAGCGAGGGUGCUUGUACCUUAGCUUAGCGGCGGACGGGUGAGUAAAGCUUAGGAAUCUGCCUAUUAGUGGGGGACAACAUUCCGAAAGGGAUGCUAAUACCGCAUACGCCCUACGGGGGAAAGCAGGGGAUCUUCGGACCUUGCGCUAAUAGAUGAGCCUAAGUCGGAUUAGCUAGCUGGUGGGGUAAAGGCUUACCAAGGCGACGAUCUGUAGCGGGUUUGAGAGUAUGAUCCACCACACUGGGGCGGGGACACGGCCCAGACGCCUACGGGAGGCAGCAGUGGGGAAUAUUGGACAAUGGGGGGAACCCUGAUCCAGCCAUGCCGCGUGUGUGAAGAAGGCCUUUUGGUUGUAAAGCACUUUAAGCGAGGAGGAGGCGCUCUAGGCUAAUACCCUAGAUGCGUGGACGUUACUCGCAGAAUAAGCACCGGCUAACUCUGUGCCAGCCGCCGCCGUAACAC
rnacentral:rRNA from 1 species